AAUCAACGCUGGCGGCGUGCCUAACACAUGCAAGUCGCACGAGAAAGCGGACUUUGGUCUGCAAGUACAGUGGCGCACGGGUGAGUAACACGUGAAUUAUCUACCUUCGAGUGGGGAAUAACCUCGGGAAACCGAGGCUAAUACCGCAUAACACUUACGAGUCAAAGCAGAAAUGCGCUUGAAGAGGAGGUCGCGGAAGAUUAGUUAGUUGGAGGGGUAAUGGCCCACCAAGACGAUGAUCUGUAUCCGGCCUGAGAGGGCGCACGGACGCACUGGAACUGAAACACGGUCCAGACUCCUACGGAAGGCAGCAGUGGGGAAUUUUGCGCAAUGGGGGAAGCCCUGACACAGCAACGCCGCGUGGAGGAUGAAAUCCCUUGGGAUGUAAACUCCGUUCGAUCGGGACGAUUAUGACGGUACCGGAAGAAGAAGCCCCGGCUAACUUCGUGCCAGCAGCCGCGGUAA
rnacentral:rRNA from 1 species